rnacentral:lncRNA from 1 species
ACACACACACACACAUGCAUGCACACACACGCACGCACAACCUAAGUGGGUAAUCAGCGGACACCUACAAUUCAUUGCAUGGAGGGUAAGUUGGUAUGGGGAAGAGGUGUCCCUCAAAAUGAGGCCACAUUAUUUGGGACUAAGGAUUGUGCUCUGUCACUGCACAAUGGUGUGUCAGGUAGUGCCGAGACAGGCUGCAAUGGAGGAGGAGCCUCAGCUGCUGAGGCGGGAGGCUGGAGCCUGGCAGAACACCUUGAGCUCUGCUCUUCCUCUGGCUCUGGCUGUGUCUCCAGUGUGCCCCAGGCUAUGAAGGACAGA